rnacentral:rRNA from 1 species
AUGACGGUAUCCCGUGAAUAAGCCACGGCUAACUACGUGCCAGCAGCCGCGGUAAUACGUAGGUGGCAAGCGUUGUCCGGAUUUACUGGGCGUAAAGCGAACGCAGGCGGACUGUUAAGUAGGAAGUGAAAGGUCGGAGCUCAACUCCAACAUUGCUUCCUAUACUGGCAGUCUUGAGUAGCGGAGAGGAAGGGGGAACGACACGUGUAGCGGUGAAAUGCGUUGAUAUGUGUCGGAACACCCAUGGCGAAAGCACCCUUCUGGACGCAAACUGACGCUCAGGUUCGAAAGCCAAGGUAGCGAACAGGAUUAGAUACCCUGGUAGUCUUGGCCCUAAACUAUGUUCACUAGGUGUCGGGGGGUUUCCUUCGGUGCCGCAGCUAACGCAUUAAGUGAACCGCCUGGGGACUACGGCCGCAAGGUUGAAACUCAAAGGAAUUGGCGGGGGCCCGCACAAGCGGUGGAGCAUAUGGCUUAAUUCGAUGCAACGCGAAGAACCUUACCAGGGCUUGACAUGUAUCUGCAAUCCCCCGAAACGGGGCCGCCUUCGAGGGUGGUACACAGGUGGUGCAUGGCUGUCGUCAGCUCGUGUUGUGAAAUGUUGGGUUAAGUCCCGCAACGAGCGCAACUCUCAUGUUUUGUUACCAGCGGAUAAUGCCGGGGACUCGAGACAAACUGCCUCUGUAAAGAGGAGGAAGGUGGGAACGACGUCAAGUCAUCAUGCCCCUUACGCCCUGGGCUGCACAUAUGCUACAAUGGCGUCUACAAAGGGUUGCUAGCCAGCGAUGGUAUGCUAAUCUCAAAAAGGACGUCUCAGUUCGGAUUGGAGUCUGCAACUCGACUCCAUGAAGUUGGAAUCGCUAGUAACCGCAGGUCAGCAAUACUGCGGUGAAUACGUUCCCGGGCCUUGCACACACCGCCCGUCACGUGACGAAAGUUGGUCUUACCCGAAGUCGCCGGGCUAACCGCAAGGAAGCAAGCGCCGAAGGUAGGGCCGAUGAUUGGGACGAAGUCGUAACAAGGUAGCCGUAUCG